UCACGCAACAGCUAUAUAGUAGCUCCGCAGACCAACAGCAGGCCGACAGCGUAGCACCUGAGUUCUAGAUCUACCACUGUUCAUGCGGGACCUGGCAUAAAGCAUUCCCACGUCUCGGCCUCCAUUUCCCCAUCUGUGAAACGAGAGCACUGGUCAGCUCUUCACAUGCAGCGUUUGUGGGAUGAAUCCUUCCAUCUGUCCAUCCAUCCCGCCAACAUCCAUGCACAAACAUUUAGCACCUGCUGCAUGCUGUCAGGGACUAUGGCAGGAAAAGAGUUGAAACAGACACGUCCCAGGCCUCCAGCCCCUCACACCACGGAGAGGAAACAGAUGCCCGCAAAGGAGGAGGCACCCCUCAGGGGGCCAGCGCUGCGACACGGUGGAGGCAGGGAGGCCGUCUCUAAGCAGCCUGCGAGUCCCCGCGCUGCACCGUGGCUUUGAGGAGUGGCGGGGGCCGAGGGGCCGGUCUCUCUUCCGGGGGAGAUUCCUCCCCUCACCCCGGCAUUACUCAGCGCCCUGAACUGUCUGCCUCCCUCCAGCCGGCCCUCCUCGUCUUCCUGGAGCGCAGCACAAAGGUCCUGUUGUGGCCGCGGCCCGGGCCGCGGGCGAGCCUCUCUGGAUGGUGGUGACUCAGUCUCUUGCCAUUUCCUUUGUGCGGCUCCGGGGCUCCUCGCUGGGAGCGGAGUGUGUCUGCAGGGCUGGGGGCGGGAGCCGGGACCCACAGCCCGACAGCGAGCCUUUCAUGUGGGCAGGGGGCUUCCCGCACGCAAUGCGAACCUACGCCUGGAGCUUCCCAAAGACAGCGUCCGGCGCAGGAACGCGAGAUGCUGGCCGCCUCGCCUCUGGCCCCCGCGAGCAUCAAAGCGCGUGCCGUCGAGGGGGCACGUGUCCCCCAUCGGGCGCGCCUCUGCUCCUAGUCCCCUGAAUGAACACAUCCUUAUGAAAAGUGGAAAUUAGCCGCCGAAGGGAAGGGCCCGGAGAGCUUGGGAAGCGACCUAGGCUGCCAGCCUCCCGGCGGGUCUUUGGUCCCAGCUCUGAUGACCUGUCAGCAGCCGCAGGACCUGCGCUUAAAGGCGCCUCUCCAGGCCUGGCUCAGGGUGGGGCUCCUCGUGCUCAGCACCCUGGUCAAGGUUAGGGCUGGGUGUGCGCUGGAGGCUUGGAGUGCCAGGGCACCCAGUGAAGAGCGAAUGAAUGAACGAGUGAACACCGGACUGGGGGCCUGCAGACGGUUCUUCGCAGGUUAAUUAGAAGGCCUCUAGCAAGCUGCAGCGGAGGCAUUUCAGGCAUCCUUCAGAGAGGACCCUCGGCCUGGCUCCUAAGGGCCCCUGGUCUGGCUCUCACCCCCUGCUCUGGUGGCAUUUCUGCUCACUCAGCCUUUACCCUUUACACGCCAGCCGCUCUGAACAGUUUAUUCUUCUGGGAGCACAUCAUGUUCUUGCUCACAUCCAGGUUUUGCGUAAGCUGUUCCUGCUGCAAGGAAAACCCUUCCUGUGUCCUCCUCAGGUGAGAGCUCCCGCAGGCAGCUUCUCCCCGGAGUCUGGCAUGGAAAGAAUCCCAAGAGACCAGUGAAGCAAGAAAUUAUCAAAGCUGCGGUAUUUACGAAGUCACUUUGUGCCAGUGCCCCAGCAAGCUGCCACCAUGGCUGCCAAGCCCUGUCACCCUUGCUGAUCAGUACAGAGAGGGGCUCGCUGCGCUGGGUAGAGGAAGCAGGAAGUUUGCUGAACUCAGACGGAAGAAAAAGGAUUCCUCUGGAGAAUCCCAGCAGGUUUCUGAUUGGACAUGGGUCCAUGUCCUUGUGAAGUCUCCUCCUCCUGAACCUGCCCUGCUCUGUGACUUGCUUUUGACCACCAGCAUGCUGCAGAAGUGAUGCCGUGUGACUUCUGAGUGGGUCAUAGGAAGCCUUGCAGUGUGGCCUGGGUCUUCAGGAAUGCUUGUUUGAGGAAAACCACUGUCAUGUAAGAAGUAUGGCUACCCUGAGACUGUCAUGGUGUGAGGACUCCUAAAUGAGUCACAUGUGGAUGGCCACCUAUUCAGGCCUCAGUUCUUCCAGCCAUUGCGACUGUGGCCCACGCAUGUGGGGGAAGAGGCCAUUUUUCACGCCCAUCCCAGUUGAGUCUUUAGAUGAUCCCUUCCUGGGCCUCCAGCUGACUGUAACCAGACUCCAGGCAGGAACCACAUAGGAACUGAACCCAGUCAACCCACAGGCUGGGGAGGAUGAUAGUCCAUUGUUGUAUAAAGCCACUGCAUUUGGAAUGGUCUGUUGUAUACUACCUAAUCAGAACAAGACUCAAUCCUUUCUUCAUAGCUGGUAGUCUUAAGCAUUUAUUAAUUCAUAUUUUAGUCACAUUAUGAAUUUUCUAUCACAAUAAGCAUUUAUUGAGCACUUUUUAUAGAGGGACUAUGCUAGGCUUGAAGAAUAAAAGACACAUAGGACACGGCCCUGCUUAUGUUCAGGUAGCUGUGGUCUAAACGAGGACGCACACAUAAGGUGAAGACCCCAUGAGAUGGAAUACACGGGGAUAACAAGCCUCACAGUGGACUGGUCGCUUUACCAGGGGUGAGGCGAUUCUGCCUAUAAGGUAGGGAAGGACUUUCUGAAAGGGUGACACUGAGUUCCACCUUGAAAAAUGCCUGAGAAUUCACCCAUAGACACAGUGGAAGAGGGGUGUUCCGAGGAAGGGAGAUCAAUGUGCAGAGAGACAGAAAUCCCGGUUCGCUUAUUCCCAACAAGGCAGAGAACAAACCUCUCCCAGUGAUGCCCUCCCUUGUUCCCGUCCCCAAUCUUUUGAUAAUAGUGGGAAGGGUUUCAAAGUGAGGGUUAAAAAUGGGCUGGUUUUGCCACCCCUUAGUAAGUCUUGGGCAGGAUUCUCAACUCUUGACACUCAUUAAAAUCACCUGGGAAGCUUUUGCAAAACUCCAGCAUGGUACAACUACUUUAGAAACUGGUGUUAUCCAUUAAAACUAAACAUUUGCUUAUCUUAGCAAUUCCACUCCUAGGUUUAUAGAGUAAACAGAAACACAUACGUGCCUGUGUCAAAAAACAUGUAUAGGCAUGUUCAAGACCACACUGUUUGGCCAAGUGCCCUAGUUCAUGCCUGUAAUCCCAGCAUCUUGGGAGGCCAAGGCGGGAGUAUUGCUUGAGGCCAGGAGUUUGAGACCAGCCUGGGCAUCAUAGUGAGACUCCCAUCUUGACACACACACAGUUUUUUUUUUUAAUUAGCUGGGUGUGGUGGCGUGCACCUGUAGUCCUAGCUACUUGGGAGGCUGAGGUGAUAGGAUCCCUUGAGCCCAGAAGUUCAAGGCUGAAAUGAGCUAUGAUUGUGUCACAGCACUCCAGUAUGGGCAACAGAGAGAUCCUAUGUCCAAAACAAAAACAAAAACAAAACAAAAAUACACACAUUAUUUGUAAGAUGUAAAAAAAGGGAACAAUCCAUGUGUAUCAAUAGAAUAGUUAUAUGCUGUGUAUGCGUAAUUAGUGUCUUAACCUGUUCAGGCUGCUGAAUACCUCAACUGGGUAAUUUACAAACAACAGAAUUUAUGGCUCAUGGUUCUAGAGGCUAGGUAGUCUAAGAUGCAAACGUCAACAGAUUUGAUGUCUGGUAAGGCCCUGUUCAUCAUAGAUGGCACCCUUUUGCUGUGUCCUCACAUGGCAAAAGGGACAAACAGGAUUUUUUCAAGCCUCUUUUAUGAGGGUACUAAUUCCAUUUAUGGGGGGAGAGCCUUUGUAACCCAUUCACUUCCUAAAGCCCCCACCACUUAAUACUAUUGGAGAUUAGAUUUCAAUAUAUGAAAUUUGGGUGGGACACAAACAUUCAUACCAUAGCGGGCAGACAAUGUAAUACUAUACAGCAAUGAAAAGAAAUGAACAACAGCGACCCAGAACAACAUGAAUGAACUUUUUUUUUUUUUUUGACAGAGUCUUGCUCUAUUGCCCAGGCUGGAAUGCAGUGACACAAUCUUGGCCCAACCUCCACCUCUUGGGUUCAAGCAAUUCUCCUGCCUCCGCCUUCCGAGUAGCUGGGAUUACAGGCACACGCCACCAUGCCCAGCCAAUUUUUGUAUUUCUAGUAGAGAUGGGGUUUUGCCACGUUGAUCAGGCUGGUCUUGAACUCCUGACCUCGGGUGAUCCGCCUGCCUCAGCCUCCCAAAGUGCUGGGAUUGCAGGCAUGAGCCACUGCGCCAGGCCCAUGAAUGAAUCUUAAAAAUAAAAUAGUGAAUCAAGGAAGUCAGACACAAAGAGUACAUACUCUACGGCUGCAUUUCUAUAAAUAUCAAAAAGAGGCAAAACAAAUGUGUGGUGUUAGAAAUCAGGAGAGUGUUACUAUCCUGGGGAGGAAGGAGAAGACCUGAAGGAACUUGAGGGGGGCUUUGGCCUGCUGGUAGAGCUUUUUUUUUUUUUGUCUCGAUCUAGGUGGUAGUUACAUACGGAUAUUCACGUUGUAAAAGUUUGCCAAGGCUUUAAUGUAAUUAUCUGAUGCAUAUUAUAAUUAAAAUGGAAAGUUUGUUUUAAAAGUACCAGUGCUUGGUCUCCACCCCUAUGGACUCUGGUUUUAUUGCUCUGGGAAGGAGCUC
rnacentral:lncRNA from 1 species